rnacentral:rRNA from 1 species
CUAGUAAUCGCGAAUCAGAAUGUCGCGGUGAAUACGUUCCCGGGUCUUGUACACACCGCCCGUCACACCAUGGGAGUCGGGAAUGCCCGAAGUCAGUGACCCAACCUUUGGAGGGAGCUGCCGAAGGCAGGUCUGAUAACUGGGGUGAAGUCGUAACAAGGUAUC